rnacentral:rRNA from 1 species
UGGGGAAUUUUGGACAAUGGGCGAAAGCCUGAUCCAGCAAUGCCGCGUGUGUGAAGAAGGCCUUCGGGUUGUAAAGCACUUUUGUCCGGAAAGAAAUCCUUGGCUCUAAUACAGUCGGGGGAUGACGGUACCGGAAGAAUAAGCACCGGCUAACUACGUGCCAGCAGCCGCGGUAAUACGUAGGGUGCAAGCGUUAAUCGGAAUUACUGGGCGUAAAGCGUGCGCAGGCGGUUUGCUAAGACCGAUGUGAAAUCCCCGGGCUCAACCUGGGAACUGCAUUGGUGACUGGCAGGCUAGAGUAUGGCAGAGGGGGGUAGAAUUCCACGUGUAGCAGUGAAAUGCGUAGAGAUGUGGAGGAAUACCGAUGGCGAAGGCAGCCCCCUGGGCCAAAUACUGACGCUCAUGCACGAAAAGCGUGGGGAGCAAAACAGGAUUAGAUACCCUGGUAGUCCACGCCCUAAAACGAUGUCAACUAGUUGUUGGGGAUUCAUUUCCUUAGUAACGUAGCUAACGCGUGAAGUUGACCGCCUGGGGGAGUACGGUCGCAAAGAUUAAAAACUCAAAUGAAUUGACGGGGUCAUAGCUGUUUCCU